UAGGGAAUCUUCCGCAAUGGACGCAAGUCUGACGGAGCAACGCCGCGUGAGUGAAGAAGGAUUUCGGUUCGUAAAACUCUGUUGUUAGAGAAGAACAGCGCAUAGAGUAACUGUUAUGCGUGUGACGGUAUCUAACCAGAAAGCCACGGCUAACUACGUGCCAGCAGCCGCGGUAAUACGUAGGUGGCAAGCGUUGUCCGGAUUUAUUGGGCGUAAAGCGAGCGCAGGCGGUCAAUUAAGUCUGAUGUGAAAGCCCCCGGCUCAACCGGGGAGGGUCAUUGGAAACUGGUUGACUUGAGUGCAGAAGAGGAAAGUGGAAUUCCAUGUGUAGCGGUGAAAUGCGUAGAUAUAUGGAGGAACACCAGUGGCGAAGGCGACUCUCUGGUCUGUAACUGACGCUGAGGUUCGAAAGCGUGGGUAGCAAACAGG
rnacentral:rRNA from 1 species